AGAGACUCUCAUACUGAGUGAAAUGUCAGAAAGACAAAGACAAAUACCAUAUGAUAUCACUUAUAACUGGAAUCUAAUAUACAGCACAAAUGAACAUUUCCACAGAAAAGAAAAUCAUGGACUUGGAGAAUAGACUUGUGGCCACCUGGGGGGAGAGGGAGGGAGUGGAAGGGAUUGGGAGCUUGGGGUUAUCGGAUACAACUUGGAAUGGAUUUAUAAUGAGAUCCUGCUGUAGCAUUGAAAACUAUGUCUAGAUACUUAUAUUGCAACAGAACAAAGGGUGGAAAAGAAAAUGUAUACAUGUAAGUAUAUCUUGGCCCCCAUGCUGUACAGUGGAAAAAUAAAUUAAUUUAAAAAAAACCUUGUUAAUUCGAUGUAUUAUUUCAUUUCCAUUUAAAGCAGGAAAAGUAGGAGAUAAAGGUCUACAUAGAAGAUUUUAGGUACUCAAUCAAUGAUUCACUAGCUCAAUAAAAAACAAACACUGUUUUGUUUAUCUAGAGUUGGAAAACUAAUAGGGAAUCUUAAUGUAAUUGUUACAUUAGAUUUUUCACAUUAUUAGAAAUGAUGUCCAUUUUCCCUUGGCUUUGGAUUUCAAAUCUGUAUUGCUCUUCGUUAUCUUAUUUUUAACCCAAGAUGACCUGGUGGAAAGCCUAAUAGAUAACCUUCUAUUUAAGUGUUAACUUUGUCAAAUUGGUACAAGGCUUAUGCUGCACAAGAGAACCGUGUUACAUUUUAUUGGUUUAUUUUGAACUUGUAGUUGGAAGAUAACAUGCAUACAGGGGAGUGCAUAUGCUUAGCUGCCUUUUAACCUGCAGAUGUCUUCUGCUUGUUGAACAGUUUCAUGGAGAGUUGGUUUGUCCUUCUUUUUGUACUUUAAUGGAUCAUAAUGUUUAUUUCUGGGCCGUCUUAAAUGAAGCUGCCACUAAAGGAAGCAAGAGGGCCAAUGUUAAUACUAAAAGAACAUGAAAAAGGAAUGUCAUUACCUAGGACCUGCUGAAAGUAUGACAUGUUAGGUUUUUGUGUUGUACUUGAUAUUGGGAGGGCUUAAUUUUUUUUUUUUUUUUUCUUUUUAUGGCCAUACCUAUGGCGUAUGGAAGUUCCUGGGCUAGGGGUUGAACAGAACUGCAGUUGUCGGCCUACUCCACAGCCACAGCCAUGUCAGAUCCGAGCCACAUAUGCCACAUAUGGUGCAGCUUGUGGCAACCCCAGAUCCUAAACCCACUGGGCGAGGCCAGGGAUCAAACCUGAGUCCUCAGGGACAUUGUGUCAGGUUCUCAACCCUCUGAGCCACAAUCGGAACUCCAGGUCUUAACUUUUGAUUGCAAGGUAGGAAUCCUGUGCACUUGAAACUUUCCUUGAGAGAUGUCUUUGGAUUGAGCUUAACUCAUGCAAGGUAGGAGUAAUUUGCUGCUGCUGCCACCUCUGGAAACUGUUUUAAAGGGUUAUCUCAUUUCACUGAAGCUCUGAGAGUCUGUCCGUGGAUGUCUGUCUCCCCUGCCCCCACCUCCAUUGGAUCUAGAUGGGAAAUGGGUGUAAACCUGAAAAUGUACACAACCUUAUUAAAGCAGCUUUGCUAAAUUAAUUGCAGCAGAGUCUUUGGGGUGUCCUUUUGUGGUGCUGCAGAUUGUUUCAAGAACCUUGGAUAUUUUGCCAAGUGUAUCACCUCAAUAAUCUAAAACGUUAACAAGUGAAACACUGUUCUGUGUCUUCACUGGCUUUGAGGUAUGUCAUGAUAGUUUAGCAAUCCACUUAGCCAUCAAACUCCUGCUUUGAGUUGUCCACACAAUCCUUUUAGUCUGUUUUUAGAUUUAUUAAGUGCUUCUCAUGUAUUUGAUGAAAAUGCUUUCGUUUAAGAAAUUGUUUCCACAUGACCCCAGAGGCCUCCCGUUGUAGUUUAACAGUAGUUGAGAUGUAGUAUUGUUUGUCUGGAACUGCAAAGUAGAGUCAAUGCUGGCAUAUUGGGGCACUCUAGGCUUAGAGCUGGGGGGCCCUCGGCGUGGUAAUUUAAUCUGUUCGUUGUAUAGUUUUGAUGCCCAGAGAGUUUCAACAACUUAUCCAGGCUGAUGACUCCACUGGUCAGGCAGCAUAGAUAGAUUCUGACUCCUAGGUCCUUUUCUCUUGCCUACGUUAGACUGACCCUGGAAUACCUGAAGAUGUUGAGAUCUUUGCCAGAGAAUUGGCUUUGCAUGAGAGCUGCAAAGGAAGAGGUACUAUGUUUGGUUUAAUCUUUCAAAGAGAAGUUUAUGGCCUUUUUAAAAUUUUUUUUUUCUUCUUAGGGUUGUAAAGAAGGCAGUGUUAAAGAGAGAAGAGAGCCGGAAAUGCCGUCUUGCUAUUAAAAAUGAGGAGAAAGAUGGGCUAUCUUGGCACUACCUUUGUCAGUUACACAUUCUGCAGCAGGUGCAUAUCAAAGAUGGAGCGGCAGCCCGGAGCCUUGGCAGCCUCUGGACCCCUCAUUUUCUUUUAUGUCAUGUCUAUCAGGACUCAUGGUUUUUGUUUCCUAACUAUUUCUCAACUCUCUUUGUGCUGGACUAUUUCUACCCAUUGAAUGUGUGUAUCAACCUUUUCUGCUGAUUAAGGAAGUUCUGCAAGGAAACAUUCUUUUUAUAUUCGUUUCCAGGAUCCCCUAUUAUAUUAAAGUUAGUUGGUCCUUUAAAAUACAGAAUGAUAGACAGAUACCUUUAAUUUUAACUUGCUUGCCCCUUCUUAGGUCUAUUCCCUUUUCUUUCAUACUCUGCUUAGAGACUCCGUGUGUUAGGUAGGCUGAGUGAACAUGCUUUUGGAAGAAAACUGGUUUUCACAGUCACUUUCUGUCUCAUGUCAGUGAUGGAGCCACUUAUGAAGCUCCCUCUAGAGGUGGAUUUGCUGUGCUGUGUAGCACACAGUAGUCUUGGCUUUAGCUUAGCGAACACUCCUGGUACUGACUUUCUCAGGUGGUCUCCAAAGGUUCAAGACAUGUGAUGAAAUGAGUCCCCAGUUAGGGUCGUGUCUUGGGUGGGCUGUGUGGGGAGCAGGGACUUCACUCAUGUGAACCAGCCACAGCCUUCUGCUCCUGGAUGGCUUUGUUUUAAGCACCUACUCCUCUCAAAGUAACACCUGUUUAUUUCUUUGUGAAAAUAGCCCAGAAAAGAAAAAAGGCCACCUGUGAAUGCCGUCGAUUUGUAAACUUGGGGACUGAUGAAAAUCUUGCUAUGAAGCCCUUCACUUAUUAAUGUCAGUGUGCUCAGUGUUCGGUCCAUGCACCAUCAGUCCUUUGCCUAUCGACUUCAACUUUGUAGGAAGCAGAACAGUGGUUUUCGGCUCCGGCUGCUGCUCUUUGGGAAUCAUGUUGGAUUCUGUAGACCUGGCAUUGAGCCCGUACAUCUGUAGAGUUAAAAGCUCCCUAGGUGAUUCUGAUGUACAGCCAUGGUGAAAGCCCAUUGAAACAGACUUGAGCAGGCACAUCAAAGAGUUCAGGGAAAGUGCACGGCCACUUGGAGUCAGGCCGCAGGAACAGGUAACGAGGCUGUUUUCACUGAGAGCCAGAGGGCCGUUUCGAUUUUGGAAGCCCAAAGGAACUGGCCACGCUGGGGGCCAGGAGAAAUUAAGCUCUCAGGGAUUUAGCUCUGUAUGGGCUCCUCCUCCCCAUUCCCCUCUGACUUGACAGACUUUGACCUUCUCCUGAAAUAGCUGUGAAUCAGAGUCUAUGCCACUGAAGAAGAAGAAUAUAUGGUGCUAUUAGAAAAGCCCUUUCUCCACUCUGUUGCUGGAAAGGAAGAACCAGGGCAGGGUGUUUUCUCAAAUUUUAAUCCCUACUGCCCCCCUUCAGAUAAUAAAAAUGAUCAAAUAAACUGAAAUCCCCUCUUACCCCAUCCUUGGAAAUGUACUUCGUUCAUUAGCAUAUCAAAGGCUGGGAAAAUCCUGUGGUUCUCUCUCACAUACACAUACAUCUCGAAACUUUGAGUUGAGCAAACUUACUUGCAUAGGAAGAGGCUUUAUGCUUCUGUACCUACAACUGAGCAUUUCUUUCCUUAACAGCAGUUUGGGAAAGACUGGCCAAGUCACUUUUUGAUUCAGUAAUUUUCUGAGGGUUAAUUUCUGACAGCUGAACCUCUUUUUAAACUCCUCUUUGAAGUUGGACUGAAUUAACAAAUGGAAGGCUUGGCAAAGCAGUUUACUAAUUCAUAACUAUAUCCCUCUGCUUUCUUUGUGUUGCUAAGUACUAUAAUCUUUGACCUGAAAGGAAGAAUACUGCUAACAAGUAAAUAUUUAAAAGGCCCCAUGAAGUAUAAUGUUAUAAUGUGCAUGAGUUUGUGCCUGGGGAGCCUGUCUGCUGGAUGAAAGCAGUGACUCACUUUUCAUCUCCUAAAUAGGCUGUUGUUUUACAGUAGGUUGAAAGGAAGUAUUUUAAGUGCCAAGAGUUAGAUUUCUUUUUCUUUUUAGAUUUAGUUGGCCAUUGGCUUCACCGAUUUGAAGGUGGCGUGUGAGUCAAAACUGCUGAGUGUGCCGGUCCUCUCUGUACGAGUUACGGUGAAUGAAUGAACUCUGUGCUCCUAAAGGCCACUUGGAACAGCGUGUGGAAACGGAAACAUGACUCACUGACAGGCUUGGAGAGUAUCAAGGGGGAUUCACUAACUUCAGAGCCAGACCCGAGGCGUGGUGAAGCAGGGAGAACCCAGAGGGAAUAGGAAACCAGGGUUCUGGUCCCAGCAGUGCCCAGUUGACUGCUUCGAAUGACAGUGGCCAGAUCACCAGACCUCUCUACUUUCUUUCUGUCCAUAAUGGGAAGUGUAAAUUAUUUGUUGCUAGGAUCAUUUCCAGCUUCCAGACUUAAUGAGUCUGAAUUCUACGGAUUUUCUGGUUUGUGUGGAAGUGGGUGUGGAUGUUUUUAAUGGUUUUCAGAUGGGACUCAUCAAGGCUCCAUGAAACAAACCUUUAUUUUUAAAAUGUGAAGUGAAUUGCUGUGACAGCGUAUGACUAGGGAGUUCAUGACAGAAAAUGAGGAAGCGAAUAAACUUUGAUUUACAAGGCUGCGGGCAGCUGGUUUCCUGAGGCUGUGGCAUUUGGCACAUAGAAUGAUGCAUAUGUGAUACUCUCAGAUAAAGGUUCAUUAUUAUCUACAGACAAAAGCUUUGAUCUGUCAGGAUUUCUUUUAAAAAGCUGUAAAAUAGCCCCUAGCUACCCUGUUCAAUGUGCCUCACCAUGUUUUAAAAAUAUAUUUAGAACACCCUACUGAAAUAUAUCCACAGACAUUUUCAUUAAGAAAUAGCAUCCUGCAUACCUGACACCCUCCAAGUUCUUGCUACAUGUUUUUUUUGCGUAGUCACUAUUGUAUAAAGCAAUCUUGGAGUUCCUGUUGUGGCUCAGAGGUAAUGAAUCCAGCCAGUAUCCCUGAGGAUGUGGGUUCGAUCCCUGGCCUUGCUCAGUGGGUUGGGGAUCCAGUGAGCUGUGGGUGUAGGUCACAGACGAGGCUUAGAUCUAAGUUGCUGUGGAUGUGGUCAGCAUUGCAGCUCUGAUUCGACUCCUAGCCUCCAUAUACCACAGGUACAGCCCUAAGAAGC
rnacentral:lncRNA from 1 species